rnacentral:rRNA from 1 species
GCCAGCAGUCAUAUCACCCUGCAACUCACAACUGGCAGCCCACAGAAGCUAAGCAGCUGUGAGUCUGACCAGUACCUGGACGUGUGACCACCUGGGAAAAACUAAGGUUGCUGCUGGAA